rnacentral:rRNA from 1 species
GCGUGUAGGUGUGUGUUCCAGGUAAAUCCGGUUCACUUUAACACUGAGGCGUGAUGACGAGGCACUACGGUGCUGAAGCAACAAAUGCCCUGCUUCCAGGAAAAGCCUCUAAGCAUCAGGUAACAUCAAAUCGUACCCCAAACCGACACAGGUGGUCAGGUAGAGAAUACCAAGGCGCUUGAGAGAACUCGGGUGAAGGAACUAGGCAAAAUGGUGCCGUAACUUCGGGAGAAGGCACGCUGACAUGUAGGUGAAGUGAUUUACUCAUGGAGCUGAAGUCAGUCGAAGAUACCAGCUGGCUGCAACUGUUUAUUAAAAACACAGCACUGUGCAAACACGAAAGUGGACGUAUACGGUGUGACGCCUGCCCGGUGCCGGAAGGUUAAUUGAUGGGGUCAGCGCAAGCGAAGCUCCUGAUCGAAGCCCCGGUAAACGGCGGCCGUAACUAUAACGGUCCUAAGGUAGCGAAAUUCCUUGUCGGGUAAGUUCCGACCUGCACGAAUGGCGUAAUGAUGGCCAGGCUGUCUCCACCCGAGACUCAGUGAAAUUGAACUCGCUGUGAAGAUGCAGUGUACCCGCGGCAAGACGGAAAGACCCCGUGAACCUUUACUAUAGCUUGACACUGAACAUUGAGCCUUGAUGUGUAGGAUAGGUGGGAGGCUUUGAAGCGUGGACGCCAGUCUGCGUGGAGCCGGCCUUGAAAUACCACCCUUUAAUGUUUGAUGUUCUAACGUGGACCCGUGAUCCGGGUUGCGGACAGUGUCUGGUGGGUAGUUUGACUGGGGCGGUCUCCUCCUAAAGAGUAACGGAGGAGCACGAAGGUUGGCUAAUCCUGGUCGGACAUCAGGAGGUUAGUGCAAUGGCAUAAGCCAGCUUGACUGCGAGCGUGACGGCGCGAGCAGGUGCGAAAGCAGGUCAUAGUGAUCCGGUGGUUCUGAAUGGAAGGGCCAUCGCUCAACGGAUAAAAGGUACUCCGGGGAUAACAGGCUGAUACCGCCCAAGAGUUCAUAUCGACGGCGGUGUUUGGCACCUCGAUGUCGGCUCAUCACAUCCUGGGGCUGAAGUAGGUCCCAAGGGUAUGGCUGUUCGCCAUUUAAAGUGGUACGCGAGCUGGGUUUAGAACGUCGUGAGACAGUUCGGUCCCUAUCUGCCGUGGGCGCUGGAGAACUGAGGGGGGCUGCUCCUAGUACGAGAGGACCGGAGUGGACGCAUCACUGGUGUUCGGGUUGUCAUGCCAAUGGCACUGCCCGGUAGCUAAAUGCGGAAGAGAUAAGUGCUGAAAGCAUCUAAGCACGAAACUUGCCCCGA